UACGAAGGGGGCUAGCGUUGCUCGGAAUCACUGGGCGUAAAGGGUGCGUAGGCGGGGCUUUAAGUCAGGGGUGAAAUCCUGGAGCUCAACUCCAGAACUGCCUUUGAUACUGAGGAUCUUGAGUACGGGAGAGGUGAGUGGAACUGCGAGUGUAGAGGUGAAAUUCGUAGAUAUUCGCAAGAACACCGGUGGCGAAGGCGGCUCACUGGCCCGUAACUGACGCUGAGGCACGAAAGCGUGGGGAGCAAGCAGG
rnacentral:rRNA from 1 species